AGACAGCAGCCGCCGCGGUAAUACGUAGGUGGCAAGCGUUGUCCGGAAUUAUUGGGCGUAAAGCGCGCGCAGGCGGAUCAGUUAGUCUGUCUUAAAAGUUCGGGGCUUAACCCCGUGAUGGGAUGGAAACUGCCAAUCUAGAGUAUCGGAGAGGAAAGUGGAAUUCCUAGUGUAGCGGUGAAAUGCGUAGAUAUUAGGAAGAACACCAGUGGCGAAGGCGACUUUCUGGACGAAAACUGACGCUGAGGCGCGAAAGCCAGGGGAGCGAAUGGGAUUAGAGACCCCCGUAGUCCCUGUCUCUUAUACA
rnacentral:rRNA from 1 species